rnacentral:rRNA from 1 species
AUUGAACGCUGGCGGCAGGCCUAACACGUGCAAGUCGAGCGGAUGAAGGGAGCUUGCUCCUGGAUUCAGCGGCGGACGGGUGAGUAAUGCCUAGGAAUCUGCCUGGUAGUGGGGGGUAACGUCCGGAAACGGGCGCUAAUACCGCAUACGUCCUGAGGGAGAAAGUGGGGGAUCUUCGGACCUCACGCUAUCAGAUGAGCCUAGGUCGGAUUAGCUAGUUGGUGGGGUAAAGGCCUACCAAGGCGACGAUCCGUAACUGGUCUGAGAGGAUGAUCAGUCACACUGGAACUGAGACACGGUCCAGACUCCUACGGGAGGCAGCAGUGGGGAAUAUUGGACAAUGGGCGAAAGCCUGAUCCAGCCAUGCCGCGUGUGUGAAGAAGGUCUUCGGAUUGUAAAGCACUUUAAGUUGGGAGGAAGGGCAGUAAGUUAAUACCUUGCUGUUUUGACGUUACCAACAGAAUAAGCACCGGCUAACUUCGUG